CCUACGGGGGGCAGCAGUGGGGAAUAUUGGACAAUGGUGGGGACCCUGAUCCAGCGAAGCCGCGUGAGUGAAGAAGUAUUUGGGUAUGUAAAACUCUAUCAGCAGGGAAGAAAAUGCCGGUACCUGACUAAGAAGCCCCGGCUAACUACGGGCCCGCAGCGGCGGUAAUACGUAGGGGGCAAGCGUUAUCCGGAUUUACUGGGUGUAAAGGGGGCGUAGACGGUGCAGCAAGUCAGAUGUUAAAGGUCGGGGCCCAAACCCGGGACUGCAGUGGAAACUGGUGAACUGGAGUACAGGAGAGGUAAGCGGAAUUCCUAGUGUAGCGGGGAAAUGCGUAGAUAUUAGGAGGAACACCAGUUGCGAAGGCGGCAUACUGGACUGUAACUGACGUUGAGGCACGAAAGCGUGGGGAGCAAACAGGAUUAGAUAACCUAGUAGUC
rnacentral:rRNA from 1 species